rnacentral:rRNA from 1 species
AACCCCGGCGAGGGGAGUGAAAAAGAACCUGAAACCGUGUACGUACAAGCAGUGGGAGCCUCUUUUAUGGGGUGACUGCGUACCUUUUGUAUAAUGGGUCAGCGACUUAUAUUCUGUAGCAAGGUUAACCGAAUAGGGGAGCCGAAGGGAAACCGAGUCUUAACUGGGCGUUAAGUUGCAGGGUAUAGACCCGAAACCCGGUGAUCUAGCCAUGGGCAGGUUGAAGGUUGGGUAACACUAACUGGAGGACCGAACCGACUAAUGUUGAAAAAUUAGCGGAUGACUUGUGGCUGGGGGUGAAAGGCCAAUCAAACCGGGAGAUAGCUGGUUCUCCCCGAAAGCUAUUUAGGUAGCGCCUCGUGAAUUCAUCUCCGGGGGUAGAGCACUGUUUCGGCAAGGGGGUCAUCCCGACUUACCAACCCGAUGCAAACUGCGAAUACCGGAGAAUGUUAUCACGGGAGACACACGGCGGGUGCUAACGUCCGUCGUGAAGAGGGAAACAACCCAGACCGCCAGCUAAGGUCCCAAAGUCAUGGUUAAGUGGGAAACGAUGUGGGAAGGCCCAGACAGCCAGGAUGUUGGCUUAGAAGCAGCCAUCAUUUAAAGAAAGCGUAAUAGCUCACUGGUCGAGUCGGCCUGCGCGGAAGAUGUAACGGGGCUAAACCAUGCACCGAAGCUGCGGCAGCGACACUAUGUGUUGUUGGGUAGGGGAGCGUUCUGUAAGCCUGUGAAGGUGUACUGUGAGGUAUGCUGGAGGUAUCAGAAGUGCGAAUGCUGACAUAAGUAACGAUAAAGCGGGUGAAAAGCCCGCUCGCCGGAAGACCAAGGGUUCCUGUCCAACGUUAAUCGGGGCAGGGUGAGUCGACCCCUAAGGCGAGGCCGAAAGGCGUAGUCGAUGGGAAACAGGUUAAUAUUCCUGUACUUGGUGUUACUGCGAAGGGGGGACGGAGAAGGCUAUGUUGGCCGGGCGACGGUUGUCCCGGUUUAAGCGUGUAGGCUGGUUUUCCAGGCAAAUCCGGAAAAUCAAGGCUGAGGCGUGAUGACGAGGCACUACGGUGCUGAAGCAACAAAUGCCCUGCUUCCAGGAAAAGCCUCUAAGCAUCAGGUAACAUCAAAUCGUACCCCAAACCGACACAGGUGGUCAGGUAGAGAAUACCAAGGCGCUUGAGAGAACUCGGGUGAAGGAACUAGGCAAAAUGGUGCCGUAACUUCGGGAGAAGGCACGCUGAUAUGUAGGUGAAGUCCCUCGCGGAUGGAGCUGAAAUCAGUCGAAGAUACCAGCUGGCUGCAACUGUUUAUUAAAAACACAGCACUGUGCAAACACGAAAGUGGACGUAUACGGUGUGACGCCUGCCCGGUGCCGGAAGGUUAAUUGAUGGGGUCAGCGCAAGCGAAGCUCUUGAUCGAAGCCCCGGUAAACGGCGGCCGUAACUAUAACGGUCCUAAGGUAGCGAAAUUCCUUGUCGGGUAAGUUCCGACCUGCACGAAUGGCGUAAUGAUGGCCAGGCUGUCUCCACCCGAGACUCAGUGAAAUUGAACUCGCUGUGAAGAUGCAGUGUACCCGCGGCAAGACGGAAAGACCCCGUGAACCUUUACUAUAGCUUGACACUGAACAUUGAGCCUUGAUGUGUAGGAUAGGUGGGAGGCUUUGAAGUGUGGACGCCAGUCUGCAUGGAGCCGACCUUGAAAUACCACCCUUUAAUGUUUGAUGUUCUAACGUUGACCCGUGAUCCGGGUUGCGGACAGUGUCUGGUGGGUAGUUUGACUGGGGCGGUCUCCUCCUAAAGAGUAACGGAGGAGCACGAAGGUUGGCUAAUCCUGGUCGGACAUCAGGAGGUUAGUGCAAUGGCAUAAGCCAGCUUGACUGCGAGCGUGACGGCGCGAGCAGGUGCGAAAGCAGGUCAUAGUGAUCCGGUGGUUCUGAAUGGAAGGGCCAUCGCUCAACGGAUAAAAGGUACUCCGGGGAUAACAGGCUGAUACCGCCCAAGAGUUCAUAUCGACGGCGGUGUUUGGCACCUCGAUGUCGGCUCAUCACAUCCUGGGGCUGAAGUAGGUCCCAAGGGUAUGGCUGUUCGCCAUUUAAAGUGGUACGCGAGCUGGGUUUAGAACGUCGUGAGACAGUUCGGUCCCUAUCUGCCGUGGGCGCUGGAGAACUGAGGGGGGCUGCUCCUAGUACGAGAGGACCGGAGUGGACGCAUCACUGGUGUUCGGGUUGUCAUGCCAAUGGCACUGCCCGGUAGCUAAAUGCGGAAGAGAUAAGUGCUGAAAGCAUCUAAGCACGAAACUUGC